GUUUUGAUAGUUUAAUAGAAUGUAGCUUUGAAGAAGCUGAGGUGGUCUACGGAAUCUCAAAACA
rnacentral:tRNA from 2 species